CAAAAGGCUCUAUCUCAGAGCCACCUUUAAUCAUCUAAUCAAAUUCU
rfam:Capsicum annuum cultivar Zunla-1 chromosome 11, whole genome shotgun sequence